GACGUAGGGCGCGAGCGUUGUCCGGAUUUAUUGGGCGUAAAGAGCUCGUAGGCGGCUUGUUGCGUCGGCUGUGAAAACCCGCAGCUCAACUGUGGGCUUGCAGCCGAUACGGGCAGGCUUGAGUUCGGUAGGGGAGACUGGAAUUCCUGGUGUAGCGGUGAAAUGCGCAGAUAUCAGGAGGAACACCAAUAGCGAAGGCAGCUCGCUGGGACGUUACUGACACUGAGGCGCGAAAGCGUGGGGAGCGAACAGG
rnacentral:rRNA from 1 species